rnacentral:rRNA from 1 species
UGGGGAAUUGUUCGCAAUGGGCGCAAGCCUGACGACGCAACGCCGCGUGGAGGAUGAAGACCUUCGGGUCGUAAACUCCUUUCGAUCGAGACGAACGGCUCCCGGACGAAUAAUCCGGGAGAGUGACGGUACCGAGAGAAGAAGCCCCGGCUAACUCCGUGCCAGCAGCCGCGGUAAUACGGGGGGGGCAAGCGUUGUUCGGAAUUACUGGGCGUAAAGGGCUCGUAGGCUGCCAACUAAGUCAGACGUGAAAUCCCUCGGCUUAACCGGGGAACUGCGUCUGAUACUGGAUGGCUUGAGAUCGGGAGAGGGAUGCGGAAUUCCAGGUGUAGCGGUGAAAUGCGUAGAUAUCUGGAGGAACACCGGUGGCGAAGGCGGCAUCCUGGACCGACACUGACGCUGAGGAGCGAAAGCCAGGGGAGCAAACGGGAUUAGAUACCCCCGUAGUCC